GACAAUGGGCGCAAGCCUGAUCUAGCCAUGCCGCGUGAGUGAUGAAGGCCUUAGGGUCGUAAAGCUCUUUCGCCUGUGAAGAUAAUGACUGUAGCAGGUAAAGAAACCCCGGCUAACUCCGUGCCAGCAGCCGCGGUAAUACGGAGGGGGUUAGCGUUGUUCGGAAUUACUGGGCGUAAAGCGCGCGUAGGCGGACAUUUAAGUCAGAGGUGAAAUCCCAGGGCUCAACCCUGGAACUGCCUUUGAUACUGGGUGUCUUGAGUUCGAGAGAGGUGAGUGGAAUUCCGAGUGUAGAGGUGAAAUUCGUAGAUAUCCGGAGGAACACCAGUGGCGAAGGCGGCUCACUGGCUCGAUACUGACGCUGAGGUGCGAAAGUGUGGGGAGCAAACAGGAUUAGAUACCCUGGUAGUCCACACCGUAAACGAUGAAUGCCAGUCGUCGGGCAGUAUACUGUUCGGUGACACACCUAACGGAUUAAGCAUUCCGCCUGGGGAGUACGGUCGCAAGAUUAAAACUCAAAGGAAUUGACGGGG
rnacentral:rRNA from 1 species